AUUGAACGCUGGCGGCAGGCUUACCACCUGCAAGUCGAGAGAGCGGCGGACGGGUGAGUAAUGUCUGGGAAACUGCCUGAUGGAGGGGGAUAACUACUGGCAACGGUAGCUAAUACCGCAUACCAUCAGAUGUGCCCAGAUGGGAUUAGCUAGUAGGUGGGGUAAUGGCUCACCUAGGCGACGAUCCCUAGCUGGUCUGAGAGGAUGACCAGCCACACUGGAACGGAGAGACGGUCCAGACUCCUACGUGAGGCAGCAGUGGGGAAUAUAGCACAAUGGGCGCAAGACUGAUGCAGCCAUGCCGCGUGUGGGAAGAAGGCCUUCGGGUUGUAAAGCAGUUUCAGCGAGGAGGCGUUACUCGCAGAAGAAGCACCGUCUAACGCCGUGCCAGCCGCCGCGGUAAUAC
rnacentral:rRNA from 1 species